GACGAACGCUGGCGGCGUGCUUAACACAUGCAAGUCGAACGGAAAGGCCCUGCUUUUGUGGGGUGCUCGAGUGGCGAACGGGUGAGUAACACGUGAGUAACCUGCCCUUGACUUUGGGAUAACUUCAGGAAACUGGGGCUAAUACCGGAUAGGAGCUCCUGCUGCAUGGUGGGGGUUGGAAAGUUUCGGCGGUUGGGGAUGGACUCGCGGCUUAUCAGCUUGUUGGUGGGGUAGUGGCUUACCAAGGCUUUGACGGGUAGCCGGCCUGAGAGGGUGACCGGCCACAUUGGGACUGAGAUACGGCCAAGACUCCUACGGGAGGCAGCAGUGGGGAAUAUUGCACAAUGGGCGGAAGCCUGAUGCAGCAACGCCGCGUGCGGGAUGACGGCCUUCGGGUUGUAAACCGCUUUCGCCUGUGACGAAGCGUGAGUGACGGUAAGGGGUAAAGAAGCACCGGCUAACUACG
rnacentral:rRNA from 1 species